GAUGAAGAACGUAGCGAAAUGCGAUAACUAAUGUGAAUUGCAGAAUUCAGUGAAUCAUCGAGUCUUUGAACGCACAUUGCGCCCCCUGGUAUUCCGGGGGGCAUGCCUGUCCGAGCGUCAUUGCUGCCCUCAAGCACGGCUUGUGUGUUGGGUCUCGUCCCCCUUCCCGGGGGGACGGGCCCGAAAGGCAGCGGCGGCACCGCGUCCGGUCCUCGAGCGUAUGGGGCUUUGUCACCCGCUCUGUAGGCCCGGCCGGCGCUUGCCGAUCAACCAAAACUUUUUUCCAGGUUGACCUCGGAUCAGGUAGGGAUACCCGCUGAACUUAAGCAUAUCAAUAAGCGGAGGA
rnacentral:misc_RNA from 1 species